rnacentral:rRNA from 1 species
UACAGAGGGUGCGAGCGUUACUCGGAAUUACUGGGCGUAAAGCGCGCGUAGGCGGCUUUGCAAGUCGGGUGUGAAAUCCCCAGGCUUAACCUGGGAACUGCAUUCGAGACUGCAUUGCUAGAGUAUGGGAGAGGGAAGUGGAAUUUCCGGUGUAGCGGUGAAAUGCGUAGAUAUCGGAAGGAACAUCAGUGGCGAAAGCGACUUCCUGGACCAGUACCGACGUUCAGGCACGAAAGCGUGGGGAGCAAACAGG